rnacentral:sRNA from 2 species
AUCUAUCACUGCUAAUCUAUCGCUGCUAAUCUAUCGCUGCUAAUCUAUUGCUGCUAAUCUAUCGCUGCUAAUCUAUCACUGCUAAUCUAUCACUGCUAAUCUAUCGCUGCUAAUCUAUCGCUGCUAAUCUAUCGCUGCUAAUCUAUCGCCGCCAAUCUAUCUACCGCUGCCAACCUAUCUACCGCUGCCAACCUACCUACUGCUGCCAACCUAUCUAUCGCUGCCAACCUAUAUAGGGUAAAUCAUGGUCCCAUUUGGUCCCAUUUUGUAAAAUGGAACCAAAUGGGAUCAGAAUCACUAAUUUAUUAGUAAAAUAUGAUCUGAGACUAGAUUUAUAAUAUAAACAGUGUAAAGUGACUAAUUUACUAAACACUAUAUA